rnacentral:lncRNA from 1 species
CCGUAAUGCUAAGCUAUUGCUACUUGGUUCAGGAGUAUCCUUCCAAGUACCAAAAUAGGAUCCUUUCACUUAUGGAAAGGGUGGGUUUUCUAGUGACGUCUCACCUUAACCCCAUUCAGCAUAUUCUGCUGGCGUUUAUGUUGACCGGAGCGACAUGAUCUACUAUUCACAGGCAUCCCCUCAGAAUCCCUCACCCUUGAUCCACCUUCCUCUACUUUCUUCAAUAUUCAAAGAGGACCUGAGCCCUAGGACCAUGCCUCAGGACUACCUGGCAUGAUGACUCCUUGCUGUCCCCAGUCCACCUGGCCGUGCUGCUGCUCCAGUUUCAACUGUUCUGCCUGCGGCUAUGGAACCCUGACCUGUUCACCGGACGUGCUUGUUGCACCCUCG